rnacentral:rRNA from 1 species
GAUCCUGGCUUAGAACGAACGCUGGCGGCAGGCUUAACACAUGCAAGUCGAACGCUGUAGCAAUACAGAGUGGCAGACGGGUGAGUGACGCGUGGGAACGUGCCCUUCGGUUCGGAAUAACUCAGGGAAACUUGAGCUAAUACCGGAUACGUGCGAGAGCAGAAAGAUUUAUCGCCGAAGGAUCGGCCCGCGUCCGAUUAGCUAGUUGGUGAGGUAAUGGCUCACCAAGGCGACGAUCGGUAGCUGGUCUGAGAGGAUGAUCAGCCACACUGGGACUGAGACACGGCCCAGACUCCUACGGGAGGCAGCAGUGGGGAAUAUUGGACAAUGGGCGAAAGCCUGAUCCCAGCCAUGCCGCGUGAGUGAUGAAGGCCCUAGGGUUGUAAAGCUCUUUCGCCAGGGACGAUAAUGACGGUACCUGGAUAAGAAGCCCCGGCUAACUUCGUGCCAGCCGCUGC